rnacentral:tRNA from 1 species
GCACUGGUAGUUCAGUGGUAUAAUUCCCGCCUUGCCUUCCACUCAGGAGACCCGGGUUCAAUUCCCAGCCAGUGUA